CCCCUAGUGGUCCAGUGGUUACGACUCUCUUCUCCUAAUGCAGGGGGCCCAGGUUCAAUCCCUGAUUAGGGAA
rnacentral:tRNA from 1 species